GCCCCGCCCCGCCCCGCCCCGCCCCGCCGGGCUGCGCAGGCGCGGCGCGCGCCGCUCCCGCCCUCCGCCUCCAUGGCGCGAGCCGUGGGCGCGCACGUCCCGCGCGUGCGCAGAGCGGGCGCUGAGGGCGCGGGAGGCGCUGAGGGAAAGGCCCCACCGAAAUAAACACCGCUUGUGCCUUUAUUAAUUGCGAAAAACGCCUGUGUUAUGAUUGGCUUUUUCGUAAAUGAUACAGUGAAUGUUAUAUGUGUGAUGUUAGAAAGUUAUGCUGUAUUAAUUCUCUUAAGUAGCGUGUUAAAUAUAGUUUAAGCUUACAACAUAGAAACUCUGCUAUAUAGGAUUUGUUACAAGCUCAAGCAGGAAGAUGAGAUAAUCAAGAAGGGGACCCAUAAAAAGUUAUAGCCUCCUCAUCAGAAAAGACAAACGUUCUUCCACCUUCUCUCUGUUUUUUUGGGACAACCAAGAUUAAGGAGAAGAAGUUGACAAAAACCAGAAAAGUUCUUAAUUUGCAAGGAAUUUAUGCAUCAUGUAUGAGAUAUAUGAAUAUGCAACAGGCAGGAGCUGUGCAGAGCCACAAGGUCCCCCUGAGCCUCCCACCCUCCACCUGCUUUUCAUCUUCUUCUCUUCAUUCUGUUUUGAAGUCGCUUCCAGGUUUAUUUGGAGGCCUAGACUUUUCAGGUGCAAUUUUGUGACUUCAGUCUCAUCUCUCUCACACGUGUAUCUAUAAGUAUUUUGCUUCCCCAAAGUUCUAGAGGAGCCUUUUACACCAUAAAGUCCUCCCAUCAACAGCCACAAGAGUAUAAAUCGUGUUUUUUUCAUUACUGCACUCACUGAAGGAGUUCAGUAACAGCAACAACAUCAGAGUGAAGCCACACAGCCACAACUCCAGUAGUGAGUGUUCUUCAUUUGCUCCCCAUUACAAACGUGAAGAAAUCACUUGUUUCUGUGUCAGAACUAUUUUAAGCUAGAGAAAAAGUUUGUAUGCACAAGUGUCACAAUCAUCCUGUACUGCAGUACCUGUUACAAGUAUUUCUUCUCUUAUAUUCACCUACAUUAAUGUUGGAGGUUUGAAAUCUUUUGUAACACCAACACUUCUCAAUUUGACUGCAGGCCUUGCAUGACUGUAUCAAAUAUCUGACCCUGUGGAAAAUCUGGACAUCUCUGGGAUAGCACUGGGAGAAAAUUAGCUACAUUAGUAGUAAAAAGAAUUGAAUUAACUUGAUAAAACAUCUGUUUACAGGUGGAGGGGCUGCAGAAACAUUUGAGAUUGAAAUCAGAACAAUGAGCUACGUGUGAUUUCGAAUAAAAAACCUGCCCAGUGUUCUGUUCCCCAGAGCCGACAAAACGCCCUUUCCUGAGCCGGACACAUCCUCCCAGCACAAGGGAUCUUCUCCCUGCACACCUCGGCUGAACUUUGCCCGGCAAUAAUCCACCCUGGACACGCUUUUAUAGCGUUUCAUAUUUAGCAAGAACUGAUCGCUGUUGAUUCCGGAGGUUACUUUGAGGGACAGUGACCACACCUCGCUGUGACCCGAAGCCUCAACCUCUUUACAGCAACGUUUGCCUCCUAGUGGAGAGCCCCGGCUCAGAAAAGCGUUAUUUCAACCAGCCAGGACUGUUUUCCUGUUUGCAAAAAGACUGUUAAAAUUUGAGGGUAAAAUUCACUCUGUAAAGAGAUUGAAUUCACAGUUUUUAUUCUCUCAGCUGUAAAACGAACACUGGUUUUAUUCCACCGCUUAUCUUUACAAGCCCAAACCAAGUUAAAUAAGAUGUUUGCUGCAGGCAAACAGCUCCAGACGCCCACAAUCAUUACACAGCAGCCUCACUCCCAAGAAACCUCGAUCCAAGACACUUGUCCUUCCCUUUACAACAGCCAAUUCCACGGGAAGGGCAAAAAGAGGCACAUUUUAUUUAAUAAAAGGAGUGUUUGAUGGGAGCCAGGAUGUUUUAACACCUCUACAGCCCCGAGGGGAAGAGCAGAAGAGCAGCACACAGGAAAUCGCUUCCCAGCUCUGCUGUGCCUGAAGAGGAUGACAAUAAAAUUUUCUAUUAAAAUAUUGGUAUUCCAUCAUCCAUAGCCCUCUCCAGGAGGGGAAAUCCCACAGGUUUCUGCUUGUCAGCACUACCUGAGCUUUUUCAAAUCGGGCCGAUACUAAAAGGAUCUGUAGUUAAGCAAUAAAUGAUCGUGUCCUCCCUGAACAGAGCAGGUGCUGCUGCAUAUCCAGCGUGUUUCCCAGGCAGGGAAGUGACAAAGCCCUUGAGGCACAGGUCUCUCACACCUGGGCAUUGUCAGCUGGAUAAACACCUCACUCUGAGCAGUAAAUAAAUAAAUAAACACCUCACUCUGAGCAGUAACUGGCGGCACGAGUGACACUGCUGUUGUCACACUGUCAAUACAAACCACCUCAGAGGUGGCUGGUGGCAUUUCAGUCCCAUCAGGACAAGAGUGCAGGUAGGAGAAUGCCUUCCCCGUGUUUAGUCUGGCAUUCAGGGACUGGGAACUGCAGAUUUGCACUGGCUUUAACGCUGUGUGACUAGAGUAGCUGAAGGCAGUGACCAGCACCAUCCCACUGGGACAGGAACAGGGACACAGGGACACAGCUCCCCAAGCACUCAUUGAAAAAUACCUGCAAACGCAGAAAAGGGGAGGGGCAGGAAAGAGUAUAAAAAGCAUCCUGACAAAGUGUAUUCUCUGUGUACUUUUAUUAAUAAAAUAUAUGAUUUACAGCA